rnacentral:rRNA from 1 species
UACAGAGGUGGCAAGCGUUGUUCGGAAUUACUGGGCGUAAAGGGCGCGUAGGCGGCUUGGUCAGUCCCGUGUGAAAUCCCUCGGCUCAACUGAGGAACUGCACGGGAAACUGCCAGGCUCGAGUUCGGUAGGGGAGACUGGAAUUCCUGGUGUAGCGGUGAAAUGCGCAGAUAUCAGGAGGAACACCGGUGGCGAAGGCGGGUCUCUGGGCCGAUACUGACGCUGAGGAGCGAAAGCGUGGGGAGCGAACAGG